UACAUAGGGUGCAAGCGUUGUCCGGAAUUAUUGGGCGUAAAGAGCUCGUAGGUCGUUUGUUACGUCGGAUGUGAAAACCUGAGGCUCAACCUCAGGCCUGCAUUCGAUACGGGCAAACUAGAGUUUGGUAGGGGAGACUGGAAUUCCUGGUGUAGCGGUGGAAUGCGCAGAUAUCAGGAGGAACACCAAUGGCGAAGGCAGGUCUCUGGGCCAAUACUGACACUGAGGAGCGAAAGCGUGGGGAGCGAACAGG
rnacentral:rRNA from 1 species